CGGAACCGGAACCCCCCUCUUCAAGUCCCUUUCCCUCUCCGCGACCCGGCCCCGGCGCCUACGAGGAGCCCUGGGUGGGGGCGGGCGUGGGGGGCCAGAGGCAGGAGGGGCGCCCGGCCCUGGAGAGAGCGACAGACAGGGCUGCUUCCCUGGAGGCUGCGGCCCCGGGGGAUCGGCGGGUAGAGGGUGUCCGGGGAGGAGGGUCGGGUCGGAGUGGAUUGACCACCGGGUCCGGAGGGUCCGAGCCAGGAGCGGAGCCUGCACCCUCUACCACCUGCCCUUCGGGAAAUAUCAGAACUGAGCCAAGAGGCAGGUGCACUGGGAAAAUGUGUCUGAGUCCCGCUUGGCAGAAGAGAAACUGAGUCACCAGCUCAGGAGCCGCAGGGUCAGCGGGCCUGAAGGGGGCUGGAUCUGCUUGUGGUGCAGAGGGUGUGGGUGGGCCGGUGUGAGCUGAGGUGGCCUCUGCCUGGAUAUUGGUCUCUCUGCUGUGUCUGCACCUCUUGGCUCGGUUCCCCCGUGCUCCAUGACUCUUUCAUCUCCUGGCGUCUUCUCGUUGGUUUGGAGUCGUCCCUGUGGUUGGAGCCACCUGAGGGUGUAGGGUCUAGGCCAAGGAGGAAGGGGAGGGGGAGCUGACCGUGGGUCUGAGCAGGAGUCUGGGGUUUGGGGAGAUUUGUCUGAACUGCCUUCACCCCAUUCUUGGUGCCAGUCAUCUUCCAGUAUAAUAUGGGGGAGCAACACUAACAGAAGAGCCAUGGGUUGUAAAUUCCAUGCCCAGCUCUGCCACUUGCUAGUUGUAAGACCUUGGGAAAGCUCUUCCUUUUGCUGAUUUCUCUUUGAGAAAAUUGGAACCCAUGAAGAUAGUGAUAACGGCAGUCAUUUAUGGUGUGCUUACUUUGUGUCAAGCAGGGACGUGUUCUGCUUAGUUCUCCCAGCAAUUCUAGGGGUUAGGGAUCAUUUAACUCUGUUUUAUAGAUAUGAAAACUGAAGCUCAGAGAGGACAUGUAAUUUGUUGGAGAUCACACAGCUAAUAGGUUGCAGAGUUGGAAUUUCAUCCUAAGUCUAACUCAGAACCUAUGGCCUUAACCACCAGCCUAACCAGCCUUUAGGGCACACUCCCCUGUGACAGAAGAGGGAGGUGAGAAAUCCAAGGCCCCAGCUCCCUGUUAUGUUUUAUUUACUUUGUGGCCAGCAAAGACUUGCCUGGACCCAAGCCACAGCCUGUCCUCACCUGGUGCUGCUGCCUCUGGCCCCAGACUAGAGGGGCACCAAAGAAGUGGGCUCUGGCCAUUCCAAGCCUCUUUCACACAGUGCUUGGGUGCUGGGCCUUAGGGUCGGCUUUCAAGACAGUUGUUUGAAUACAUCAACCAGCCAUCCUCCUUAAUGAGCAACCUCCCUCCUCAGAGAUGGACCUCGGGAUGCAUGAGGCGGGGUCUCUAAGCUCUGCAGGCCUAGCUCCCCUGAGAGCUGGGGCAGUGAGGGCCGGUGACAGGCUGGUGCAGUCAGUCCCUGGGGACAAGGACUGUGCGGUGGGAAAAACAGUAGACUUGGAGUUCUGAAAGUUUUUCUGAGCUUCGGGUUCCUCAUCUGUUACAGAGGUUGUUAAAACCUCUCACAGGGAAAGGUAAGAACGGCACAUGGGAGGCAUGUAAUAAAUAUUGAAGGAUGGUUUUAGAGAAGGGAGGUGGUGCAGAAAAGUUUCCCUUUUAGAGGAAGUUGCUGCACAGCUGUCCAUCACACCUGGAGCCGCGGCUGGGAACAGUGAUUGGGGAGACAGCAGGAUGGGUGCAGGCUAGACGUCGGGGGGCCGUAUGAUUGGCUGGGGCUUGUAGGGCACGAGGAUCUGGGGAAGUGAAGGGAGGCAGCGUGGUGUUCGUCCCUGUUGCUCUCUGGGGAAUCUAGACCAGAGGAGGGAGUCUGGCUCGGGGUGGAGCUCUGGCCCCGGUCCCACCUCAGCAGUGACUCGAUGUAUGUGCCUCUUCCUUCUGCAGCUGCUGCCGCUCACCCCGUGUCUUCUGGCCGCUUCCCUCUUUGCUGCCCCUCCCCACAGUCUCCCCCUCUCCACCUCCUGGGGGCCAUCAUGAAUGGUGCCCCUUCCCCGGAGGAUGGGGCCUCGCCCUCCCCUCCCCCUUUGCCCCCACCCCCUCCCCCGAGUUGGCGGGAGUUCUGCGAGUCCCAUGCCCGGGCAGCUGCGCUGGAUUUUGCCCGUCGUUUUCGCCUCUACCUGGCCUCCCACCCCCAGUACGCAGGGCCCGGGGCCGAGGCUGCCUUCUCCCGCCGUUUUGCUGAGCUCUUCCUGCAGCACUUUGAAGCUGAGGUGGCCCGGGCCUCCGGCUCCCUCUCGCCACCCAUCCUGGCUCCUCUGAGUCCUGGUGUGGAGAUCCCGCCACAGGACCUGUCCCUUGAGAGCUGCAGGGUGGGCGGGCCCCUGGCUGUGCUGGGCCCUUCUCGAUCAUCUGAGGACCUGGCCGGCCCCCUCCCUUCCUCGGUCUCUUCCUCUUCUACAACCUCCUCGAAGCCGAAGCUAAAGAAACGCUUCUCCCUCCGCUCAGUGGGUCGCUCUGUCCGCGGUUCAGUCCGUGGCAUCCUGCAGUGGCGGGGGACCGUUGACCCUCCCUCCCCAGCGGGGCCCCUGGAGACCUCAUCGGGCCCCCCAGUGUUAGGUGGAAACAGCAACUCCAACUCCUCUGGCGGGGCUGGGACCAUUGGUAGGGGACUGGCUAGCGACGGAACAUCCCCUGGGGACAGAUGGACUCACCGUUUUGAGAGGCUGAGACUCAGUCGGGGUGGGGGGACCUUGAAGGAUGGAGCAGGUGUGGUGCAGAGGGAAGAGCUGCUGAGUUUCAUGGGGGCUGAAGAGGCAGCCCCUGACCCAGCUGGUGUGGGCCGGGGAGGAGGGGCAGUGGGGCCUACCUCAGGGGGAGGAGGGCAACCUCAGUGGCAGAAGUGUCGCUUGCUGCUUCGAAGUGAAGGAGAAGGAGGAGGAGGAAGUCGUCUGGAGUUCUUUGUACCACCCAAGGCGUCUCGGCCUCGGCUCAGCAUUCCCUGCUGCACCAUCACCGAUGUGCGGACAACCACAGCCCUGGAGAUGCCUGACCGGGAGAACACGUUUGUGGUUAAGGUGGAAGGCCCCUCGGAGUAUAUCCUGGAGACAACUGACGCUCUACACGUGAAGGCCUGGGUGUCUGACAUCCAAGAAUGCCUGAGCCCGGGACCCUGCCCUGCUGCCAGCCCCCGCCCCAUGACCCUGCCCCUGGCCCCUGGGACCUCAUUCCUGACCAGGGAGAACACAGACAGCCUGGAGCUGCCCUGCCUGAACCACUCGGAGAGUCUGCCCAGCCAGGGGCUGCUCCUGGGGCCCAGCGAGAGCACUGACCACCUGUCGCAGGGGGCAUAUGGAGGCCUCUCAGACCGCCCCUCGGCGUCCAUCUCCCCUAGUUCCGCCUCCAUUGCCGCCUCCCAUUUUGACUCAAUGGAAUUGCUUCCCCCAGAGUUGCCCCCGCGUAUCCCCAUUGAAGAGGGAACCCCAGCAGGGACAGUUCAUCCCCUUUCGGCCCCCUACCCACCCCUGGACACUCCGGAAACAGCCACAGGGUCAUUACUGUUCCAGGGGGAGCCAGAGGGAGGUGAGGGGGACCAGCCCCUCUCAGGGUAUCCUUGGUUCCAUGGGAUGCUCUCUCGACUCAAGGCCGCCCAGCUAGUGCUGGCUGGAGGCACUGGCUCCCAUGGCGUUUUCCUGGUACGUCAGAGUGAGACGAGGCGGGGUGAAUAUGUUCUCACUUUCAACUUCCAGGGCAAGGCCAAGCACCUGCGUCUCUCGCUGAAUGAGGAAGGUCAGUGCCGGGUCCAGCACCUGUGGUUCCAGUCCAUUUUCGAUAUGCUUGAGCAUUUCCGGAUGCACCCCAUCCCUCUGGAGUCUGGAGGCUCCAGUGACGUUGUCCUUGUCAGCUAUGUCGUGUCCUCCCAGCGACAGCAGGGCCGGGAGCAGGCUGGGAGCCAUGCAGGGGUGUGCGAGGGAGAUCGAUGCUACCCCGAUGCCUCCUCCACCCUCAUGCCCUUCGGAGCGAGUGACUGUGUAACCGAGCACCUCCCAUGACCCACCCCAGCCCCCUGAACCCCCUUCAUGGACAGAUCCCCCACAUCCUGGGGCAGAAGAGGCGUCGGGGGCGCCAGAAGUGGCGGCAGCAACAGCCACAGCAGCCAAAGAGAGGGCUCAGGCGGGGAUGAACACCUUCCAGCUCUGGGCCUGGAGACCCUAGGUGGGGACUCCAAGAGAGCACGCGCCUCCAGCCCAGUUCACACCCAGUCUCCCUGACGGUGAUCCUUCGUAGCUCUUGGCUGGUGGCUUCCCCUCUCUGGCUUCAGUUUCCCCUCUGGGAAGUUGGGAGAGACAGAAACGAAUAACCUUAAAGGGCCCCAUUGGCAGCAGUGCCCUGUAAAGCCUGCCUUCUUCCCUCGGCCUCAUGCUCUCAGGUCCCUUGAAGCUGCAAUCUGUCCAGUCUUCUCUACCUUCUCCAUGUUUGGGCAUUCCUGCUCCUUUAAGACAGUGCCCCUGUCACUCCUCCAGGUGGUGGCAGGGAGAAGCCAGCCAGCACCGUAGGGCUUGGCAGAUGCUGAGCCUGACUCUGGCCUCAGAAGAUGGGUGCCAGGCCAGGUGGAGGUGCCUGUCGAUGUGACCCCCAACACUCGUACACCAUUGUCUGAGUCCCCACACCCCAGGUCACAGCAGGAUUGCGCUUCAGGGAGGGGUUUGUUGGACCCAUGAAAAGGGGGAGGGAGGGAGCACUGUGUCCUCAACUCCCCCAGGUCCAGGCAGAAGAGAGGAUGAGUACGGGGAGCUAAGUCCUUCAGUGCCAUCCACCCCUGCUGGCCUACCCAUCCCCCAAAAGCGGGACUUCCCUUUCCUUUGCCCCUCUGUCUCCUAUGCCAUUGUCUGCUUAGGAACUUGAGUGCCAGAUGGGGAAGCAACCUUGAGAACCCUUUCAGCGGCCCGUGCUCCUCACUGUUCAUUUCAGGAAACUGAGGCCUAGACAGAGGAAGGACUUGAGGCCAGGGACACGAGGCUGCUUCCCCUCAGACUUCUCACCAUCCUCUCAUUCAACUUUUCUCUUCUCUGCCCUCCUUUCCUCCCUGCCCACACCCCACGCUGCUCUGUCUGCUCCUCCCGCAGCUGGUGGUAACCAAGAGAUGCCCCUGUGCCUGAGCAGGGGUGGGGGUGGGGGGUUUGGAGCAGCUGCUUCUCUGAGGAAGCUGAUACCGAGGCCAGCCGCUCAGCAACAGCUUGUGGCUUUGCACCCAGUCCGGGGCCCCCACCCACCUGGCUGCCGCAUGCCAGCUCCCUGCUGUCCCUUUUCCCCACUGCUCCUCAGGCUUCCCUCUGACCCUGGCAGCCCUGUCUCUAUUCCCCCAGCUCUGUCUGUCCUUAUUUCCCCUAGACCUGUCCCCAUCAAUCUGCCCGCCAUCCAUCCCUUUGGUCUGGAGCCUCUGCUUUAUCCAGCUUCCCCGGGCCCCUCCCCUGGAUGUCCCUUCCUUCAGGCCUCUGCCGAUGCGGAUGCGCAGCGCCUGAGCACACAGCUCCGAUCCCUGCUCCCCUCGAGGACAGCCACUUCAGGGCCAGGGUGGCGUGCGGACCACACGCCAUCUGGGGUCUGCCACGUAGACCCUGUGGUUAAAGAGAGCGCGGUGUGGGAUGAGGUGACCCUCCCUCCAUGGCUCGGGGUGACCCCUGCCCCCAUUCUGAAACAUUGAUCCCUCUCCCUCUGCCAUCAGCACAUUCUGUAGGCUCUUGGGUUACUCGGCUCCCUGGGUAUCCCAUUUUCUUGGGGGUGGGGUGGGAAUUCCCUGUCAGGGAUGGGGCAGCCCUGAAGGCUCUGUUCCCAGAGGCUGUUAGAGUGAUGGGGAGGGGGGGGGUUAGGGGAGAGACAGGCAGUUCUGGCUUUGCUCACCAGGGCCUGGACACUAAAUCCCUUGUUGAUGGCUGCAGCAACCCCUCCCUAGGGUAGGGUUACCAUCUUCUGCCCUGUCCCCUUGACCCUCUCCCCUCCCUACUUCCCCUGGUCCCUCUAGAGCCACUUCCUCUCGCCCCCAAAGGAUGUUCUCCCCUUUUUCAAUCCCCUGAGGGCUGGAGUGUCUCUGCUGCCCUUUCAACACACUCAGUGAGGAAGGAGGAGACUGUGGCAGUAGAAACAGGUUCAGGGUGAGGGGGUGAGAUGGGAAAGGGAUGCGAGGGUAGGGAAAAGUGAAGCCCUGAGAGGAGAAGUGGGCUUAAGGGAAGAACUGGAAGGGGUGAGGUUGGAAUAGGAAAUUCAGUGCAGCUGAAGAAGUCGAGGCAAUUGGGGGAGGGCUCAGUAGCAGAAGACAGAAAGUGAAGUCUCUCCCUGCCCCCCCCCUUCCCUGGGGCUACGGCCACCUUAGCGUCCCUCAUGAGUGACAUCUCAGGCUG